CGAGGCCCGGGGUGUCCGGAGCACGGGGAUCAAGGUUCCUCCGGCGGCGGCAGCAGCUGCAGCAGUUUCAGCUCCGCCGCGCGUCCGCGCCUCCACACUCACUGCCCGCAACGCGCGCCGCCGCCGCCGCCGCUGCCGCCGCCGCCCGCCCCAACGGUCCUUCAACGGCCGCUGCGCGCGCCCCGCCUCGCUCGGCCCGGCCCGCCCCGCCCCGCCCGGCCCGCGCGCCGCCGCACUGCGGCUCUCACGGAUCCCUCCGCGCCCCGCUCUGCACCAGCGGGCCCGCGGAUCGCUCGUCCCCACCCCACACAGGGCCAGGAUUUGUCGCCGGGCGCGCGCGCUCGCGCUCCCGCCGCCGGACUACUUUCCCUCGCCGCGUGCCCCGCCUCCCGGGUACACUUCACAUUCCUCCCCGGCGGAGGGGCACUUCUCGGCGAUGCGUAAUGCGUCUCUCUGUGAGCCGCGUCACUAUUGGGACCAUCCCAUGGCGGAAAUGAGAGCGCGGCGCCCAUUGGUUCGGCCUUCCCUGCAAUGCGUCAAACUGGGAACCAGUCAUGUGGUCUCAUCUCACUGCAAGCAGAUGGAGAAAUAUGUUUUCUCAUGCGCCUUUGAAAAAGGAACAGGAGCUACUUCCAUGCUGUAUGUAUCUCAGUCAUAUGCUGUCCAAAAAAAAGAAAAAGAAAGAAAAAGGAACAGGAAACAGAAUUUGGUGGUCAAGGUGAAGCCCCACGACAAGGACGCCAAAAUGAAAUACCAGGAGUGCAACAAGAUCGUGAAGCAGAAGGCCUUUGAGCGGGCCAUCGCGGGCGACGAGCACAAGCGCUCUGUGGUGGACUCCCUGGACAUUGAGAGCAUGAGUGAGUGGGGCCCAGGCGCCCUCUGCUCCAGCCCAGAACAUUCCACAUGGGCCCUCUCUAUUCCCUGGGGUGGGAGUGGGCUCGGGGGUAGCCCCUUGUUCUGUCCCCAGGCUGCUGUCUGUCGCUCCUCUGCCUGUGUUCCAGGGCGCUCCAUCCACAGCCUGAAGCUGGGCCUCAUGCUUCCCAGUGGGCGAGAUCAGGAAUUGUAACACCCCCUCAGUAUGGCUUGGCUGUGUGUCCCACCCAAAUCUCACCUUGAAUUUGUAGCUCCCAUAAUUCCUACGUGUUGUGGGAGGGACCGGGUCGGAGAUAAUUGAAUCAUGGGGGCAGUUUCCCCCAUACUGCGCUCCUGCUAGUGAAUACGUCUCACGAGAUCUGAUGACUUUAUAAGGGGAAGCCCCUUUUGCUUGGCUCUCACUCAGCAGCCACUCAGGCAACCAGCGAUACCCAUCUGGAUUAGACAACCUGGCAAACCUGAGGACCCUACCACGCAUGUCUAAGAUGACUGUGUAGCUGUCAACAAUGACUGUACACCCAUCUGUCCCAGCCAGUGGUGCUCCCCGAAAGUAAUAUUAUACUAUCUCAUUAUCUCCUCAGCUUGCUAUGUCAAAAGGGGAAAGUUGUUAAAAUAAAAUGGGGGAGCCAGGUGCAGCGGCUCACACCUGUGAUCCCAACACUUUGGGAGGCCAAAUUGGGAGGAUCCUUGAGCCCAGGAGUUUGAGAGCAGCCUGGGCAACAUGGCAAGACUCCAUCUCUACAAAAGAAAAAAAACAUUAGCUGCACAAAGUGGUGCGUGUGCAUGCCGGUGCUCCCAUCUAGUUGGGAGGCUGAGGCAGGAGGAUCACCUGAGCCCAGGAGGUUGCGGCUGCAGUGAGCUGUGAUCAUGCCGCGUCACUCCUGCCUGGGCAACAGAGUCAGACCCUGUUUUACACACACACGCAGAAGUAACGGGGUGGACAGGACGGAGAAUUCCCCAAGCAGACAGAACCAGGCCACAUAAGCAAAACCUAAUGCACUUUGACUUUUGAAUGUAAGUAAAACCUAACUUAGGUUUGUCCUUCCCUUCCUCCCUCCCUUUCUCUCUCUCUCUCUCUCCUUCUUUCCUCCCUUUCUCUGUUAAUUCCUUCCUCCCUUCCUUUCUUUUUUUUCUUCUUUCUUUGAGAUAGACUCUCAUUCUGUUUCCCAGGCUGGAGUACAGUGGCAGAAUCUCAGCUCACUGCAGACUCCAUCUCCUGGUUUAAGCAAUUCUUGUGCCUCAGCCUCCUAAGUAGCUGGGAUUACAGGCAUAUGCCAUGACACCCGGUUAAUUUUUGUUUUUUUGUUUUUAAGUAGAGACAGGGUCUCACCAUGUUGCUCAGGCUGAUCUCAAACUCCUGACCUCAAGUGAUCUGCCUGCCUCAUUCUCCCAAAGUGCUGGGAUUACAGAUAUGAGCUACCAUGCCCGGCCAAUUUAGGUUAUUUCUCAUGAAUGCCUCUGAUAAUCAUAAACGAAGCUUAAGUUGCCUUCCCCUAACAAUAUAAGACAAAUGCUUUUAAGCAGUCCCUUGCAACCUGGAAACCUCCACUGUCAUAGACUCACCGUAAAGGUUAAACCACCUCCUGAGUUUUGCUUUUUCAGCGAUCCUAUGACAACAUGCCUCUGAGCUUUACUACCUGGGUUCAAGUCCCCUGGAUCGUGUCUGUCCCCCAUCCCCAAAACUUAUUUUAUUUUUUUUGAGAUGGCGUCUCACUCUGUUGCCCAGGCUGGAGUGCAGUGGCGCAGUCUUGGGUCACUGCAACCUCCGCCUCCCAGGUUCAAGCGAUUCUCCUGCCUCAGCCUCCCAAGUAGCUGCAAUUACAGGUGCCUGCCACCAUGCCUGGGUAAUUUUUUGUAUUUUUAAUAGAGACAGGGUUUCACUCUGCUGGCCAGGCUGGUCUUGAACUCCUGACUUUGUGAUCCGCCCGCCUCGGCCUCCCAAAGUGCUGGGAUUACAGGCGUGAGCCACUGUGCCCAGCUGUGUGUGUUAGUUUUCUAGAGCUGCUGUAAUAAGUUCUCACAAACUUGGUGGCUAAAAAUAACAGAAGCUU